rfam:Myotis lucifugus cont2.15343, whole genome shotgun sequence.
GAGACACCCCUAUGGAGCAGGACUUGCUUCAGUGGUGCUCACUGAGUCUGCCCCUUGAGUGUGUCACU